rnacentral:rRNA from 1 species
AGAGUUUGAUCCUGGCUCAGGACAAACGCUGGCGGCGUGCGUAACACAUGCAAGUCGAACGGGAGGUGUCUCUUCGGAGGCGCAUUCAGUGGCGGACGGGUGAGUAACACGUGGAUAACCUGCCCUGGUGUGGGGGAUACCCUGUAGAAAUAUGGGCUAAUACCGCAUACGGUGCUUUGGAGGUGGCUCUGGAGCAAGAA